ensembl:lncRNA
AAAUCACAAUUUGUGCACCCACAGUGGUCCACCAGGAUUUUCAAGAUAUCCCCUUCCCUCUCCAGGAUGUUCUGGAGUACCACCUAUCUGUUUAAAACUGUCUUCUAUUUGAGGCUGCAUCAUGGCUAGAUGGUGCCUCUUUUUAUUUUCUGUUCAGCACUCUGGUUUGUAUUUUGCUUAUGCCCGUAGAGAAAAUCCUUUCAGACUUUUAUACAAACCAAUGACAGAAAUUCCCGUUCCUGCUGUUGCCCACUGCUUUAGUUACUUGGACUUACACAGCUAAAUGGGGCAUCCAUAAACCAUGACAGAAUGCUUCUGGUGAGAGGCUUUGACACCUCUGUUGAAAAGCACUGCUGACUUUGCUGCUGUGUCAUUGCUCCCAAGUAGGCUGUAGUUAAGAUGUACUCUAGUUCAAAUCCACUGUGUGUUCCCAGAUUUCAGUCUUACCUGCUUGUCUUCCCAGGACUUUUGUGCAACAGUAGUACUUUUGAAGCCAUCUUUCAUAGCACUGCUGACAGAAAUUACACAGGUUUGUGUGACACAAGUACUACCCUCACCACAGAUGAAGAGGAAAUCCUUUUUUGCUGAGAUCCUCACAAGUCAAAGUUAAGACUGUAAGAACAGUACUUUACUAAGGACUCAAGUCCUUCUGACAAACACCCCAUUUGCUUGGAUCUUUAAAAUAUACAGCUGAAGGGAUCAUACAAUCUUCGGUUAAUAUUACUUAAAACUUCUUCAGUGAUAAUUGUAAAAUGAUUUGGAAAAUUAUUUUCAUUUAUUAGGAAGAGUCCCCACAUUGUAAACCAUCAUUACAGUCAUUGCUGGCCGACGCCCAUAGUGCUACACUAGGCUGAUUCUCUAAACUGGAGGAAGUGAGACACCAACACACUCUCUUGUCUUGAAUGGUGAUCCUUCUGGUGCAGUACUGUAAUAGUGAAGUAUGUGUCUUCUCUUUAUAUAUAUUAGUUGCAGAGAGGACACAUGGACAGAAGGCUUGUUAUUUAAUAAUUUACUAUCAUUACUGAGGAAAUUCAGGAGUCCUAAAUAGAGGAAUGUUACACAUAACAUUUUCUUGUAUUUUAUACAGGAAAUGCACACACCAUCACUCCCGAGUUUGUUAGUGGAUGAUAUCAGAUUUCAAUUUUCACAGUAGUAUAACAGUUCUCUUAAAUGUCAUAUAAAAACUACAGUGCUGAGUUGGCUGCUUAGUUGCUGUCUUCUGGCAUACUAUCACCUCAAAGAACAAAUGUAGCACAUCCAUAUCUUUAGUAUUCAUUAUUGCCUAAACUGUUAGUCUGUGAGAUUCAGGAGCAUUUAAAAAGCUUUGAGAUUUUUUUUUCAGUAUUAAUGCAUCACAUCAGGUGGCACAACUGCUUGCAUCAAAUUUAGAUUUACAUGUUUAUACUAUAGCUUGGCAGUUAGUCUAUGCUGCAGAACGUUACUCAGUGAUUAUCUGGUGCUUCAUUGCUAAUCUUCUGUGCAACACAUACCAUACAUGCUACAGCAACUGAAGAGGCAGCUUAAGAAGCUUUUUUUUAUUCUAAUCUAAUACUUUGCCUUCAGUUACUUUUCUUUAUAUUGUCUUUUAAGCUUAGACUUUCAAGGCUAAACAAGAUUUUUUCGUAGUAAUUCUGACUUUCAAAGGUUCUGCUAUUUUUAAUGCAAGUAAGAAAAGUAAUGGGUGUUUUUCUAAUUGGAAAAAAUAUUAUACUAUUAUUGAAUAAAUUCUAACAAUGCCUUGCCAGAACACUGAUGCAAGGGUCAUUUAGAUGACUAAUGCUGUCUCUGAGAAAUGCUAAGAGAUUCAUGGGCUCCAUUAGGUUCCAGAAAGGGUCUGAAGCAAAGAUACCUCAGCUGAUUAGGAAAAAAUGCAUCAUUUCCUCAGGCAAAAAGAGACAGGGAUUUAAGAGAGGAAUAAGAGAGAAGAAUUGCACACUGUUGGAGAAAAUGGACAAGAAGUAGAGAUUUAGAUAUAUCUGCCUUGUCAGCACAACACAAAAUGGUGGGAGAACCACAAAACUUCAAAUGACAGGUCCUAUCAACCAAAACAACAACAUAAUCUCAAUAAUAGGAAUGGCACAGUAAGAUGCAAGGCUGCCCAGGGGCUUCUAACUGCUCUAGUGCUAUUCUUUCACCCUUUAUUUAACACCACCAUUAGAAAGUCUAAUGGACUGUUUAUAUCACACUAUUAGACAUAUGGCAAGAUCUUUAGUAAUUGGAGUGUGAUGUAUAGAGAUGGGGUAUCGCUUGCUUGAUGCUACCUAUAAUGAAGCCACUGCUGAAUACCUUUUCACUGCAUGUUACAGAUAUAAAAGCACAGAACAGGGCUGCCAGAGAUAGAUGUGAGGGUGGGAGCCAGCUUUCUUUUUUGCGGCCCUCAAAGCAGAAACAUUAGCUGCUUGUUCUAUUUGCAUGUUUGGUUUUUUUUGUUUUGUUUUGUUUGUUUGUUUGUUUGUUUGUUUUAACACGGACAGUGAUUUAUUUAAUAAUACCAGCUUGAGGCUAUUCUUAGAUCAUAUUUCUUCAGAAAACUGUCUGGAAGACAAUGCCAGACAGCAGUGCUAUUAAAUAUAUAUUACAAUUGUU